UACGGAGGGUGCAAGCGUUGUCCGGAUUUAUUGGGUUUAAAGGGUGCGUAGGCGGUCUUUUAAGUCAGUGGUGAAAGCCUCCAGCUUAACUGGAGAACUGCCAUUGAUACUGGAAGACUUGAGUACAGACGAGGUAGGCGGAAUUGACAGUGUAGCGGUGAAAUGCAUAGAUAUUGUCAAGAACACCGAUUACGAAGGCAGCUUACUAGACUGUAACUGACGCUGAGGCACGAAAGUGUGGGGAUCAAACAGG
rnacentral:rRNA from 1 species